rnacentral:rRNA from 1 species
UAACACAGGGAGCUUGCUCCCGUGUGUGACGAGCGGCGGACGGGUGAGUAAUGUCUGGGAAACUGCCUGAUGGAGGGGGAUAACUACUGGAAACGGUAGCUAAUACCGCAUAACGUCGCAAGACCAAAGAGGGGGACCUUCGGGCCUCUUGCCAUCAGAUGUGCCCAGAUGGGAUUAGCUAUUAGGUGGGGUAACGGCUCACCUAUGCGACGAUCCCUAUCUGGGCUGAGAGGAUGACCAGCCACACUGUAACUGAGACACGGUCCAGACUCCUACGGGAGGCAGCAGUGGGGAAUAUUGCGCAAUGGGCGCAAGCCUGAUGCAGCCAUGCCGCGUGUAUGAGAAAGGCCUUCGGGUUGUAAAGUACUUUCAGCGGGGAGGAAGGUGUUGAGGUUAAUAACCUCAUCAAUUGACGUUACCCGCAGAAGAAGCACCGGCUAACUCCGUGCCAGCAGCCGCGGUAAUACGGAGGGUGCAAGCGUUAAUCGGAAUUACUGGGCGUAAAGCGCACGCAGGCGGUCUGUCAAGUCGGAUGUGAAAUCCCCGGGCUCAACCUGGGAACUGCGUUCGAAACUGUCAGGCUAUAGUCUUGUAGAGGGGGGUAGAAUUCCAGGUGUAGCGGUGAAAUGCGUAGAGAUCUGGAGGAAUACCGGUGGCGAAGGCGGCCCCCUGGACAAAGACUGACGCUCACGUGCGAAAGCGUGGGGAGCAAACAGGAUUAUAUACCCUGUGAGUCCACGCCGUAAA